UAAUACGAAGGGUGCAAGCGUUGUUCGGAAUUAUUGGGCGUAAAGCGCACGUAGGCGGUUGGGUAAGUCUGUCUGUGAAAGCCCGGGGCUCAACCCCGGGACUGCAGGGGAUACUGCUCGACUGGAGACAAGCAGAGGUUGGUAGAAUUCCGGGUGUAGCGGUGGAAUGCGUAGAGAUCCGGAGGAAUACCAGAGGCGAAGGCGGCCAACUGGGCUUGUUCUGACGCUGAGGUGCGAAAGCGUGGGGAGCGAACAGGAUUAGAUACCCUGGUAGUCCACGCCGUAAACGAUGGGCACUAGAUGCCGGUGGGAACGACCCCUUCGGUGUCGCAGCUAACGCACUAAGUGCCCCGCCUGGGGAGUACGGCCGCAAGGCUG
rnacentral:rRNA from 1 species